GAUGAACGCUGGCGGCGUGCUUAACACAUGCAAGUCGAACGAUGAAGCCCAGCUUGCUGGGUGGAUUAGUGGCGAACGGGUGAGUAACACGUGAGUAACCUGCCCUUGACUCUGGGAUAAGCCUGGGAAACUGGGUCUAAUACUGGAUAUGACUUCUCAUCGCAUGGUGGGGGGUGGAAAGAUUUAUUGGUCUUGGAUGGACUCGCGGCCUAUCAGCUUGUUGGUGAGGUAAUGGCUCACCAAGGCGACGACGGGUAGCCGGCCUGAGAGGGUGACCGGCCGCACUGGGACUGAGACACGGCCCAGACUCCUACGGGAGGCAGCAGUGGGGAAUAUUGCACAAUGGGCGCAAGCCUGAUGCAGCGACGCCGCGUGAGGGAUGACGGCCUUCGGGUUGUAAACCUCUUUCAGUAGGGAAGAAGCGAGAGUGACGGUACCUGCAGAAGAAGCGCCGGCUAACUACGUG
rnacentral:rRNA from 1 species